rnacentral:rRNA from 1 species
UACGUAGGGACCAAGCGUUGUUCGGAUUUACUGGGCGUAAAGGGCGCGUAGGCGGCAUGACAAGUCACUUGUGAAAUCUCUGGGCUUAACUCAGAACGGCCAAGUGAUACUGUCGCGCUAGAGUGCAGAAAGGGCAAUCGGAAUUCUUGGUGUAGCGGUGAAAUGCGUAGAUAUCAAGAGGAACACCUGAGGCGAAGGCGGGUUGCUAGGCUGACACUGACGCUGAGACGCGAAAGCGUGGGGAGCAAACAGG